rnacentral:rRNA from 1 species
GUUGAACGCUGGCGGCAGGCCUAACACAUGCAAGUCGAGCGGAUGAAGGGAGCUUGCUCCUGGAUUCAGCGGCGGACGGGUGAGUAAUGCCUAGGAAUCUGCCUGGUAGUGGGGGAUAACGUCCGGAAACGGGCGCUAAUACCGCAUACGUCCUGAGGGAGAAAGUGGGGGAUCUUCGGACCUCACGCUAUCAGAUGAGCCUAGGUCGGAUUAACUAGUUGGUGGGGUAAAGGCCUACCAAGGCGACGAUCCGUAACUGGUCUGAGAGGAUGAUCAGUAACACAGGAACUGAGACACGGUCCAGACUCCUGCGGGAGGCAGCAGUGGGGAAUAUUGGACAAUGGGCGAAAGCCUGAUCCAGCCAUGCCGAGUGUGUGAAGAAGGUCUUCGGAUUGUAAAGCACUUUAAGUUGGGAGGAAGGGCAGUAAGUUAAGACCUUGCUGUUUUGACGUUACCAACAGAAUAAGCACCGGCUAACUUCGUG